rnacentral:snoRNA from 1 species
CCCCUCUCAGGGUUGUACCUGUAGAGUUUCCAGUACUCUACCAGUCUCAAAUACCAGAGGGAGAGUCAAGCAGAGGCCUACCCAUUCCAUUCCUAGCUUGGGCAGUGGCUAGCGAGUGGAAGGCAAUCUGCCAAAAGU